AUGGCCCGAAAAAAUUUUAGGCGAUCGGGGUCCUGGGGGCCCUGACCCACUCGGAAGGCGUGGGCUAUAGGACAUGAAUAUAUAGGAAUCGGGCAGAAUUUUAUUUUUUUGGUCGUAAAACGCAAAACGAGUAACGGCCAUGGUAGGGUGGUGACUAUGGUUCCUUAGGUCAUAUUUGAUGGCCCAGAAUAAUUUUAGGCGAUCUGGGUUAGGGGGCCGGACCCACUCGGAAGGCGUGGGCGAUAGCACACGAAAAUAUGGGAAUCGGGCGAAAUUCUAGUAUUUUGGCCGAAAAACGCAAAACAACAAGGAACAGCAAUGGUGGGUGGUGACUAUGGUUCCUUAGGUCAUAUUUGAUGGCCCAGAAUAUUGUUAGGCGAUCGGGGUCAGGGGGCCCGGACCCAUUCGGAAGGCGUGGGCUAUAGCACACGAAUAUAUGGGAAUCGGGCGGAAUUCNN
rnacentral:lncRNA from 1 species